UUAAUUGCUCAACUUGCAUGUAAUCUUUCACGAUUUUUUGUUGAAUAUUCGCUCCUUUGUUUUUUGGUAUAGUGCCCGCAUAUGCUGUUUUAUGGUCCACCUGGAACUGGAAAGACCACCACUGCUCUUGCCAUUGCCCAUCAGCUUUUCGGACCUGAGCUGUAUAAGUCGAGGGUAUUGGAGCUAAAUGCUAGUGAUGACCGUGGUAUCAAUGUAGUUCGCACAAAAAUUAAGAACUUUGCUGCUGUUGCUGUAGGCUCUAGUAGGCAAGGUGGUUAUCCCUGUCCACCUUUUA